rnacentral:lncRNA from 1 species
UCUCUCUCUCUGUCUGGAGUAGCAGCUCCACACAGUCCACAGUACCUCGUCUCCUCCAGGACUCCAGUCCACAGUACCUCGUCUCCUCCAGGACUCCAGUCCACAGUACCUCGUCUCCUCCAGGACUCCAGUCCACAGUACCUCGUCUCCUCCAGGACUCCAGUCCACAAUACCUCGUCUCCUCCAGAACUCUAAAAAGGUGAUGAGAACAGCAGUACCCUGAGGUCUCUGUAUUACCCCCCGGUGAGGAGUGACAGGGUGAAGGAGGGCAAGGAGAACACUGACUACAGCAGCAUCACCCUGGUCUUUCAGAGCCAAGAGGGUGGCCUGCAGGUAAACAAGACACCACUGAAUCCUCUGGUCUUCUAGAACCAAGAGGGUGGCCUGCAGGUAAACAAGACACCACUGAAUCCUCUGGUCUUCUAGAACCAAGAGGGUGGCCUGCAGGUAAACAAGACACCACUGAAUCCUCUGGUCUUCUAGAACCAAGAGGGUGACCUGCAGGUUAACAAGACACCACUGAAUCCUCUGGUCUUCUAGAACCAAGAGGGUGGCCUGCAGGUAAACAAGACACCACUGAAUUCUCUGCAGCUUCUAUUAGGGCCAGGAGUUUUCCAGGCUACGUCUCCUGGCAGGAAAGACUUUGUCUCUAGUUAUAUUAUUGUUCACAGUGAGUCCAUGUAACUUAAUAUGUGACUUAAGUACAUUUUUGCUGGACUAUGUAUGUUAACAGGAUGUGUUCACCCCAAUAGCAAAGUUUGUCAACAAAAACCUCAAUAUCUCGAAAUACCAUCUUAUUAGAUUUAGCCAUUUCCCCCCAUUAGUAUGGGAUUCAGACCUGCAGACAUCUUGAUUUCAGACCACUUUGGAG